GACGAACGCUGGCGGCGUGCCUAACACAUGCAAGUCGAACGGGGUUACGAGAGCUUGCUCUUGUAACUUAGUGGCGAACGGGUGAGUAACGCGUGAGAAACCUGCCUCUCAGUGGGGGACAACAGUUGGAAACGACUGCUAAUACCGCAUAAGCGCACAGUACCGCAUGGUACCGUGUGAAAAACUCCGGUGGUAUGAGAUGGACCCGCGUCUGAUUAGCUAGUUGGUAAGGUAACGGCUUACCAAGGCGACGAUCAGUAGCCGGCCUGAGAGGGUGAUCGGCCACAUUGGGACUGAGACACGGCCCAAAACUCCCUAACGGGAGGCAGCAGUGGGGAAUAUUGGGCAAUGGACGCAAGUCUGACCCAGCAACGCCGCGUGAAGGAAGAAGGCUUUCGGGUUGUAAACUUCUUUUAAGAGGGAAGAGUAGAAGACGGUACCUCUUGAAUAAGCCACGGCUAACUACGUAG
rnacentral:rRNA from 1 species